UGGCUCAGAUGGUAAAGCAUCUGCCUACAAUGCAGGAGACCCAGGUUCAAUCCCUGG
rfam:Ovis aries breed Texel chromosome 10, whole genome shotgun sequence.